UUCCUGGUGGUCCAGGGGCUAAGAUUCCACACUCCCAAUGAGGGGGGUCCCGGGUUCGAUCCCUGGCCAGGGAA
rnacentral:tRNA from 1 species